CAUCUCUCCCUCGCCACCUACGUACCCCUCCCCUAUACCCACAGAUUAGCGGUUGCUCCCCGACGUCGUCUGCCCUCUGUCGCCUGGACCCCUCCCUCUUCUGCGUAGGACACGAAGGUCGGCAAGGACACCAACGCACACGGCUGUGUUCGAAAAAAUGGGGCGCACUAUGAUGGACUACAACGUGCACGAGGGCCACCUCGAGGCCAUGGUACACGGCUACCGCGACGCCCUUCUCCGCGUCGACGAGUACAACAACCUCUGCCAGUGCGACAACCUCGGUGACAUGAAGAGCCAGCUGCAGAUCACCGACUAUGGCAACUUUCUGCAGCAGGAGGGCACGCUGACCUCCCGCAUCAUCGUCGAUCGCGCGCAGGAGGUGCUCUUAAAGCAGUUCAAAGAGCUGCGCUCCUGGGCGGAGCCGCCGCUCUGUCAGUUUCUCGACUUUAUCAGCUACGAGUACAUGCUGUCGAACGUGCUGAAGCUGAUUGUGGCGAAGCGCAGCGGCCGCGCCAACCUCGAGCUGCUAACCAAGUGCCACCCCCUCGGCGUCUUCCCGGAGAUGCCGACGCUGAUCGCUGCCUCGGACGUGCAGGAGAUGUUCGAGGUGGUGCUCAUCGACAGUCCGGUGGGCCGCUUUUUCAGCGCCGAGGGCGGCUUCGAGCGCGACUUGGAUGAGCUCUCGGUGGAGUACAUCCGCGGCAUCCUCAUGAAGAACUACUACGAGCAGUUCUACGACUUCUGUUAUAACCUCGGUGGGGAGACGCGCGAGGUGAUGUGCCCGCUGCUGGACGCCGAGGCAGAUCGCAUGGUUCUCACCUUCACUCUGAACACCCUCGGCAUGCGAGAGAUCACGCCGGUGGACCGCCGCAAGGUGUUCCCGAGCAUCGGCUCCCUCGUCGACAUCCACGAUGACAUCGCGGAGAGCGAGAACGAGGAUCAGCUGCGCGAUCGCCUACGCCGCUUCGCAAAUUACUUUGAGCUGCUCGACGAGGGCAGCCGGGCAAUGGACUCAGCGUGCAAGAAGUCGCUGGAGCGGCGGUUUGUCGAGAUGUCGGUGGUCAUGUACAACGACGCUAUGACGCGGCAGUUUCAGUACGGUGUCUUCUACGCCUACGUGAAGCUGAAGGAGCUGGAGAUCAACAACCUUCAGUGGAUCGCCGACUGCGUCGUGCAGCAGAUGCGCAGCCGCCUGCACGAGUACGUGAGCACGGUGCCGUACGCUCAAUAGAGCAAGAAGAGGCACUGCUAGCCCACCCACACCCGCACCUCUGUGGGGAUGCGUGUUUGUUCCAGUAGAACUCUACGAGUUUCUCACGUUGCACGUGUUCCUCUUGCCUUUCCCUGUCUCGCCUCCCUCCCCCCCCCCUUCUGCGGCGAUGGCAGUGACGGUGGUCUGUGCUUCGGUGAAGUGUCGCGGCCGGGUUGAUGUUCGUGUCGACGCUUUCCCCCUGGUCUGUCCGUUGCUGCCGCACGGUCUCUCUCCAUGUCUGUCUCGGUGAUGACGGCGCCAGCGUGUGCGCCUCUCUGUCGUGAGUGUGCCCGUCUGUGUCUGUGUGUCUUGUCGAUCCUCGUCCGUUAAGCAGGACAGAGCAG
rnacentral:misc_RNA from 1 species